rnacentral:misc_RNA from 1 species
CAAUGAGUGUAUAAUGGCACUCUAAAUCCAUUACCCACCUUGUGUGCAUUGUCGAAAGGGGGGGAAGGGCAAUACCCAUUGCUCUUUUCCUUUUUUAUACAUACCAACUUUUUUCAGUAUCAGUCUACUUCUAUUUAGAGUAUAAAAAACUCGAAAUA